GGGCGGGUGGUGGAACGGUAUACACGAAGGACUUAAAAUCCUUUGCCGUAAGGCUUGUGGGUUCGAAUCCCACCCCGCCCA
rnacentral:tRNA from 1 species